rnacentral:lncRNA from 1 species
UGUUUUUACACUUGAAUGAAAAUAAAUAUGUCUAUAACAAAUAAUAAAUUUUUUAUAACAUAGUCAAAAAACUUAAUUAUCAAUAAAAAUAUAUGUUGACUUUGUUUCAUAAUAUUUAUGUAACAUUUAGCUAACUAUCAGGUCUAAAAUUUGAGGCAAUAGUUUGAGACUAACGCUAGAGACUGUUUAGUGAAUAGAAACUAGUCACAUGAGUCGUGGGUACUUAUAUCCGUCAUAUUUUGCAUAAAUAUAUCUUAUUAUGAUGAGCAAUAAUCGCAACAUGCAUUCCAUCUACGCAACCAAUAACUUUUUAGCUUUAUGUUGUCUAGCACAUGCAAAUUCGAUACUUACAAUACAGGAACUUCCAUGGAAUUGAAGUGAUCCCGUUCCAACCUAAGUUGCUUGUUUUCCUUACAACAUAAAAAUCUUCAAAAUAUAUUAUAAAUCAACGUUAUUGUAUUUUUAUUUUUAUAAAGUAAAGCCGUUGUUGACACAAAAGGUAAAGGAAAAUAAUUUUUAGUCUAAAGGCGUCAAAAAUAUUAGUUUGAGAUACACCGAGACAUUUUUCAAUGAUUUUUGUAUGACAAGAAUGAAGUCAAGUGAAUCUAUUCAUUCGCCAGUCACAAUAUGAACACAUCGCAUUUUCGAAAAAACGUUCGAUUCGUCGUAUGCAUUCGCUUCACCACAAUUACCUUGAUGUGCAAACAGUAAUAAGUGUAGUUGAUUCUGCUUCAUUUAGUAAUAUGUAAAAAACUGAAACCAGUGAAAAUAAAAGUAAAAUACUGUUACGAUAUUCUCCAGACAAACAUUACAUUAACAAAACAGCUACAUAUAAGUAUUACUACUUCAAGUUUUUGAUAUUUAUUUGAUUUUUCUAAUGUUUGAGGAUAAAUAACGAGAGUUCAUACUCUUAAGAAGCAGUGACUUUUAUCCACAAAAUAAUAAUUACAUAUAACAAAAUAAUAAUUAUCAAGUCUUUUUAUA